rnacentral:rRNA from 1 species
AUGAACGCUAGCUACAGGCUUAACACAUGCAAGUCGAGGGGCAGCAUUUUAGUUUGCUUGCAAACUGAAGAUGGCGACCGGCGCACGGGUGAGUAACACGUAUCCAACCUGCCGAUAACUCCGGAAUAGCCUUUCGAAAGAAAGAUUAAUACCGGAUAGUAUACGAAUAUCGCAUGGUAUUUUUAUUAAAGAAUUUCGGUUAUCGAUGGGGAUGCGUUCCAUUAGUUUGUUGGCGGGGUAACGGCCCACCAAGACUACGAUGGAUAGGGGUUCUGAGAGGAAGGUCCCCCACAUUGGAACUGAGACACGGUCCAAACUCCUACGGGAGGCAGCAGUGAGGAAUAUUGGUCAAUGGGCGAGAGCCUGAACCAGCCAAGUAGCGUGAAGGAUGAAGGCUCUAUGGGUCGUAAACUUCUUUUAUAUGGGAAUAAAGUUUUCCACGUGUGGAAUUUUGUAUGUACCAUAUGAAUAAGGAUCGGCUAACUCCGUGCCAGCAGCCGCGGUAAUACGGAGGAUCCGAGCGUUAUCCGGAUUUAUUGGGUUUAAAGGGAGCGUAGGUGGAUUGUUAAGUCAGUUGUGAAAGUUUGCGGCUCAACCGUAAAAUUGCAGUUGAAACUGGCAGUCUUGAGUACAGUAGAGGUGGGCGGAAUUCGUGGUGUAGCGGUGAAAUGCUUAGAUAUCACGAAGAACUCCGAUUGCGAAGGCAGCUCACUAGACUGUCACUGACACUGAUGCUCGAAAGUGUGGGUAUCAAACAGGAUUAGAUACCCUGGUAGUCCACACAGUAAACGAUGAAUACUCGCUGUUUGCGAUAUACAGUAAGCGGCCAAGCGAAAGCAUUAAGUAUUCCACCUGGGGAGUACGCCGGCAACGGUGAAACUCAAAGGAAUUGACGGGGGCCCGCACAAGCGGAGGAACAUGUGGUUUAAUUCGAUGAUACGCGAGGAACCUUACCCGGGCUUAAAUUGCAACAGAAUAUAUUGGAAACAGUAUAGCCGUAAGGCUGUUGUGAAGGUGCUGCAUGGUUGUCGUCAGCUCGUGCCGUGAGGUGUCGGCUUAAGUGCCAUAACGAGCGCAACCCUUAUCUUUAGUUACUAACAGGUUAUGCUGAGGACUCUAGAGAGACUGCCGUCGUAAGAUGUGAGGAAGGUGGGGAUGACGUCAAAUCAGCACGGCCCUUACGUCCGGGGCUACACACGUGUUACAAUGGGGGGUACAGAAGGCGGCUACCUGGUGACAGGAUGCUAAUCCCAAAAACCUCUCUCAGUUCGGAUCGAAGUCUGCAACCCGACUUCGUGAAGCUGGAUUCGCUAGUAAUCGCGCAUCAGCCAUGGCGCGGUGAAUACGUUCCCGGGCCUUGUACACACCGCCCGUCAAGCCAUGAAAGCCGGGGGUACCUGAAGUACGUAACCGCAAGGAGCGUCCUAGGGUAAAACUGGUAAUUGGGGCU